GACAGAGGAUGCAAGCGUUAUCCGGAAUGAUUGGGCGUAAAGCGUCUGUAGGUGGCUUUUCAAGUCCGCCGUCAAAUCCCAGGGCUCAACUCUGGACAGGCGGUGGAAACUACCAAGCUGGAGUACGGUAGGGGCAGAGGGAAUUUCCGGUGGAGCGGUGAAAUGCGUAGAGAUCGGAAAGAACACCAACGGCGAAAGCAGCCUUCUGGGCCAACACUGACGCUCAUGCACGAAAGCGUGGGGAGCAAACAGG
rnacentral:rRNA from 1 species